rnacentral:rRNA from 1 species
UACGAAGGGGGCUAGCGUUGCUCGGAAUCACUGGGCGUAAAGGGUGCGUAGGCGGGUCUUAAGUCAGGGGUGAAAUCCUGGAGCUCAACUCCAGAACUGCCUUUGAUACUGAAGAUCUUGAGUUCGGGAGAGGUGAGUGGAACUGCGAGUGUAGAGGUGAAAUUCGUAGAUAUUCGCAAGAACACCAGUGGCGAAGGCGGCUCACUGGCCCGAUACUGACGCUGAGG